rnacentral:rRNA from 1 species
CCUACGGGGGGCAGCAGUGGGGAAUAUUGGGCAAUGGGCGCAAGCCUGACCCAGCAAUGCCGCGUGAAUGAAGAAGGCUUUCGGGUUGUAAACUUCUUUUCUGUGGGACGAAGAAAGUGACGGUACCUUAGGAGUAAGCCCCGGCUAACUACGUGCCAGCAGCCGCGGUAAUACGUAGGGGGCAAGCGUUAUCCGGAAUUACUGAGGGUAAAGGGGGAGUAGGCGGGACAGCAAGUCUGAUGUGAAAUCCCCGGGCUUAACCCGGAGCUUGCAUGGGAAACUGUAGAGCUUGAGUGCAGGAGAGGCAAGCGGAAUUCCGAGUGUAGCGGUGAAAUGCGUAGAUAUUCGGAGGAACACCAGUGGCGAAGGCGGAUUGCUGGACUGAAACUGACGCUGAGGCGCGAAAGCGUGGGGAGCAAACAGGAUUAGAUACCCGUGUAGUC